AUUGAACGCUGGCGGCGUGCUUAACACAUGCAAGUCGAGCGGCAGCGCGGGAGCAAUCCUGGCGGCGAGCGGCGAACGGGUGAGUAAUGCUUCGGAAUCUGCCCUUUAGUGGGGAAUAACCAGUCGAAAGACUGGCUAAUACCGCAUACGACCUACGGGUGAAAGCAGGGGAUCGCAAGACCUUGCGCUAAUGGAUGAGCCGAAGUCGGAUUAGCUAGUUGGUGAGGUAACGGCUCACCAAGGCGACGAUCCGUAGCUGGUCUGAGAGGACGACCAGCCACACUGGACUGAGACACGGCCCAGACUCCUACGGGAGGCAGCAGUGGGGAAUAUUGGACAAUGGGGGAAACCCUGAUCCAGCGACGCCGCGUGUGUGAAGAAGGCCUGCGGGUUGUAAAGCACUUUUAGUGGGGAGGAAAACCCCUGACCUAACACGUCAGGAAUUGACUUAACCCAAAGAAAAAGCACCGGCUAACUCUGUGCCAGCCGCCGCGGUAA
rnacentral:rRNA from 1 species